rnacentral:rRNA from 1 species
AUUGAACGCUGGCGGCAGGCCUAACACAUGCAAGUCGAGCGGAGCGGCGGACGGGUGAGUAAUGACUAGGAAUCUGCCUGGUAGUGGGGGAUAACGUCCGGAAACGGGCGCUAAUACCGCAUACUAUCAGAUGAGCCGAUGCAGGAUUAGCUAUUUGGUGGGGGAAAGGCCUACCAAGGCGACGAUCCGGAACUGGUCUGAUAGGAGGAUCAGUCACACGGGAACUGAGACACGGUCCGUACUCCUACGGGAGGCAUAAUUGGGGAAUAUUGGCCAAUGGGCGAAAGCCUGAUCCAGCCAUGCCGCGUGUGUGAAGAAGGUCUUCGGAGUGUAAAGCACUUUAAGUUGGGAGGCGUUACCAACAGAAUAAGCACCGGCUAACUUCGUGCCAGCAGCCGCGGUAAUAC